CUACUUUCCUAACCAGUGAGAAAAAAUUAUUAAGGUAAAUAAUAGAUUACAAGUGUGCCAGAAUAUCUCUUUAUGAAUCAAAGAUGAUAUUCCUCUGCAAGGAUUGCUGUUUGGUGGAAUGGUGACAUUUUGAUCCCUUUCUAGCAUGGCAUGGUAUGAUACUGUGCUGGUUGUCAUGGCCUUGUGUGAACUUACAUGCGUAGAAAUUUGACCCAGAAAUAUCUUGUCACUGUCAAUGUGACAACACUUUCUAGCAUGGCACCUGCUGACCUAUACCAUGAGCAUGGUAGUUUUGUUCCUCAGUUAUGAUACUGCUGUGAAAUAUGCUCUUCUACUUAGACAAUCAACCUAAAUUUAUUGUUGGUUAUUGCAGUGUCAUUGUAUGGCUUUUAUUGGAUAUUAUGGUGCUAUUAUUGUGGUUCUUUCUAGGUCAUUUCUAUGGUAGCAUAGUAGACACAUGAUACAUAUGUCCUGUCAUGUUAAAACAUUGUUAUAGUGUUUAGAUCAGUACUUUUUUUGUCCUUGUUGGCAGGCGAGGAAGAUUGAAACUCAGUUGGAUGAUCAGAUGAGUUCAUAUCGCAGAUUGGUUUCAACAAAACCUGAUGGAUCAGAAAAUGAGUUAGAAUCUGGAAUUGAACAUUUAUUGAAGCAACUCCAGCAAGUCAACUUGCAGAUGCAAACUUGGGUUUCUUCUGGUAGCUCACAGAUUAUUUCUCAUACAUUGACACGGCAUAAAGAAAUUCUGCAAGACCUUACUCAGGUACAAGAUGCUACUAUCGUGUUUUCUGAUGUUUGGUGAAAGUUCAACUUUUAGAAAUAUAUCCUUGAACUAGUUUAAGAGCUUAAAACAAGUUCAGAAUUUGGUGCAUAGAUAUGCAAGCAAAAUAAUCUUGUCUUGGACAUGUUUUCCAGGAGUUUUUUCGCCUUCGCUCUAGUCUUAGAGCAAAGCAAGAACGUUCUUCACUUCUAGACUUCAGGGAUUUUGAUAGGGCAAAAGCGGACUUGGAAGAGGGUGCAGAUUCUGCUGAACAUGCUUUGCUUAAAGAACACACAGCUAUAAGUAGAAGUUCAGGGCAGGUACCAGAUUGUCUCCCCUUCCCCUGCCUCCUCUCUCUAUAUACUGAAUAGAUGUUUAUAUGUAUAUAAACAUAUAUGUUUACAAACAUGUUCAUAUGUUUGGACAGAUGUACCACCCAGUAUUUGGUCAUCUUGUCGAUUUAUUUUCUGAUGUUUCUUAUUUGACUGUCAUAUCAAGAUUCUUGUAAUGUUUCUUGUUUGUUCAUACGUAUCAUCCAAAAUUAAAUAAUUUUCAUAUUAGAAGCAAUUAGCAUUUUCUGAGGUCGACACAUUUUCACUGUACUGUUGUUGUUUUGAGGUAUUGAAUUGCUUAUGAUACUAUAUCGAAACAAAUGGCCAUUGUGGUGGUGGUGAGGCAUGUAUUAUAUGACCUAUGAUCAUCUGAGUGUUUCGAUGAUGUGACAUACCCACAUCACUCAUGACAUUCAGAUAAAUGCUUUUUCUUUUUUCGUAACCCAUAAUCCUAAAUAUUUCUUUUGGUAUGUGAAAUGAUAAAUCUUUAAGAAAUGUUUUACCAUGUUUAUUAUGGCAUCUCACAGAUGGAUAAUGUAAUAUCUCAAGCCCAAGCCACACUAGGGACACUUGUUCUUCAGCGCACGACAUUUGGUGGCAUCAGCACAAAGACGAGCAACGUUAGCAGCAGACUUCCUACGGUAUGUGGAUUAGACAUUCGACUUGAUCCAGAGUUAGCUUGUUUAUUGAGAACAUAAUCAUUGAACUUAUAUGAUUUUGUUGCACCACCUGCACAGGUAAAUCAUAUUCUGUCAGCAAUUAGAAGGAAAAAGUCGAUGGACACUAUUAUUCUUUCCCUUGUCGCCUCGGUUUGUACAUUUUUGAUCUUGAUUUACUGGUUGUCGAAGUGACUGCUCCUAAAAGUGAGGCCCAUAAAGGAUCGAUCUGCCUAUGUUAGUACGUACAUGGUUCUGCCAGGAACAUGCUUGUUUUUGUACCUUAUAGUAUAUAGAAGAAGUAUUCACCCUUGUCCUGUUCAUCUCUGUUCGCUUGUGCUACAGAAGAACAUGGAGUGUUAUGGAACUUCUAUUCUCAUCGUACUGGUUGAUCAACUCCUAUGGGUUUAGUUAAAAACGAUAUUGGGAAGAUUGAGAUCUCCACCCUAUCUUUCUAUCGUCUCAAGAUUAACAUUGAAUGAAGGCUCCAAAUUGAAUAAAAAGUCCUAUCGAGUAUGAUGAUCUAUGACAUCAAAAGUAGAAAGGACCAUAAGUUCAUUUCGAUAUAUUUUGGAUUCUGAUCAAACGAGUGGUGAAGAUGUAAGGUAGCUCAGCUAAUUAAAGUCUUGAUAGCAAGGUACAUUUCUAUCGCGUACCUUUGCACAAAAAGAAGAAACAUAAUAUGAAUGGUCGGAGAAAAAAAUGAAUGCAUAAUGACUAUUUUGGAUUUUGAGAUGUAAGCCAGCUUAGCUAAUGAAAUCUUUGCGCAAAAACGAAGAAACAUAAUAUGAAUGAUCGGACAAAAGUAUUCAUGCAUAGAUAGGCUCGAGGUGCUCAAACUUUGACCUCGCCUCGCCCCGGGUGGGGGUGUCGAUGACGAGCUGAUGGCAGCAAAGGACCGAUGGGAGGAACGGGUGGUGGGGAAGCAAUAGGGGACAACAUGUGAGCUCGAGGGGUAAAAGCAGAGAAAAGUGCUCGGGGGCGACGACACUGCUGGGGCGAAGCAUAGAGAAGGGAGGGAGCUCGGGGUAUAGCAACUCUUCUGACGAGCAAAACCAAAUAGCAGAGGUGGGAAGUCAGCAACAGGCUAAUAGGGUCGACGGUAAAGGGCAAGAGGUGGAGGGACAACGUGACGAGGGGCACAAGGAGAGAGAGAGAGUAUCUCUAUUCGUGAGAGGAGAGGUAUUGCCAACCUUACGCACGAACGUAAACCAUCGGGACGAGGAGACUCGGCCAUUCGACCAUCUUCCAUUUGAAUCAAUUAAUUCAUGUUCCACUCGAGCUCAAUCUAAUUGAUUUGGACGGAGCUAGCGCCUGACCUAUCCAAUAAUUUGGGCUUAAUUAAAGGUUAAUUAUAUAUUAUCUUUUAUAAUUAAAUCUUUUUAACAAUCCCUGAUUUAAAAAAAUUAUACUGACAUAUGUAAAACAUUUAAUUUUAUUUAUCCUAAUAUUAUUGGUUUCAUCCACGAAAGAUAUAACAUAUGACAAUACGUGCAAAAUUAUUGAUUUUAUCAAUGAUAAAAUGAUUAUUUCAAGCCGGUGAAAGAAUGAGGCCAUUGGCUUAGACAAUAAGUAAAGUCGAUACUAUUACUUGUAGAGGAUUCUGAUAUCAAGUACUAUGUCCUCUUAGCAACGGAGGUUGAAGACAAGGAGGAGUGGGCAGACGUGCUCCGCUCCCUCGCGGCUAAAGAAGGGAAGGCUUUGGGCAGGCUCAUCCCACAUAGUUGUGACGUUGACUCCUACUAGUCAUCGAUGAGGAAAGUCACGAUGGAGUGGGUCACGGGCGUCGCGACUACCUACGCCUUCUCUACCCUCACGAUGAUGCUCGUUGUUAACUACCUUGAUUAGUGCUUCCUCUCCUAUGUCGUAGGUGGCGAGCUACUCUAGCUCUAGGAUGGCAAGUCGUAGAUGGGUCGAUUUACGAUCGUAGCAUGUCUUUCGUUGGUAGCAAAGGUAGAGGAGACGCAUGACUCUUUCUGACAGUCGCCCAUCCAAAGUUGAUGGCUGAUAGUUGCCUAUCGAAAGUUGCUUUCCUCACGAAGUCAUUUUCGUUGUUACCGUCACCUCUGAGAAAGCGAGCAAGGAGGCCCUAGACAAAGUGACAAUGUCGUCUUCGAGGAUCGAUGGUUGUGAGCUCGUCGAUGAGGCAUAGUCGUAGGGUAAGUUAAGAUGGGAAAACACUUGAGACUUAUCCAUGCCUUGGUCAUGGACAAGGUGAUGAGACACGAUCCAUCAACGUGGCAAUCAUGAGGACUAGCCCUCCUAAAGCCUCUCUUUCUAUAGCCACAAGGGAGCAAAGCAUCUCCGCCCACUCCUCUGCCAAGAGGCUGUAGUGCUUAGUCUCACUAUCCUCUACAAGUGGCAACCCUGCUUAAGCUAGUGGCCCUAUUUUUUCACUCAUCCUGAAAUGAUCAUUUUACUAUUAGCAAAAUCUUGGAUUCGACCACUAUCGUAGUAAAGAAAGAGGAGAAGCCGCGAGGAGCAGUACAGAUUCAAAAAUGGUCACUAACGAAACCUUCAGGAAAAGAUACAUAAGACUUUAUAAUUGGCUUCUGCACUCGAGACUUAUUCCCAACAUGAUAAAUACAAACAGUGACCAACAAUUGAGCCAUCCACUAUAAUUGGAUUCAGCACAAUCAAUCUUACCUUACACAAGAACAUGGUGAAAUAGGCAUGAUAACAGGAUGGAUGAUUAUCCAGGUCGAUUCCAAUAAUUUGCAUUACACUAAAAAGUUUUUGCAUCUUUAUUGCAAAUCAAUAUAAACUAGAAAACUCAAAUUUGUGGGGAGGAAUUAAAAAAUGUAAGGACACCUAAGUAUUCCAAAUGAGAGAUGCCAUGCAUUGACAGAACCAAGAACUAGUGUUGAUGAUGUUCCUGACUUCAGCACAGAAGAAACAAUUUCUGCAGUUCUUUAGGGAUCUAUACCAUUCCCUGCAAAAUCAGAUGGAAAACGAGAGUGGAAUUCUGCUUAUGAGCGUUGUGAUCACUUCACAAAAACAAAGAGGAAAACCAAAUACGUUGAUGUUCAAAGUACCUUAGAUAAGCAUAAUCAAGGUAAGCACCAUCCACACCAUCUUAACUUUGCUUUUCACGAAUCCACUCAACAAAGUUGUCCAAAAUUAGAGGCCAAGCAAGUUCCGCAUCAUAGUUGUCAAGAGACAGGAAGUUUAUCUAAACAAAUGAUGGGAUCAUGUGAAGCAAUUCUUCAAUAAAAAAAGAAGAAGCAAAUCUAGCACAAAAUGAAGCACAACCUUCUGGAAAUACUGCAUAUAAGAAAAUGAAGAUAAGAUGUACAAAAACAAUCUCAAGUUAAAUGGCUCAAAGUGUACCUCAUUACAGAAUCUGAGAAAGCUUGUCCACUGGUCCAUGUUUAUGACCUUGUAAUCACGUUGGUGCUGCAAUUUGGCAUGUUCAGAUGUAUCAGAUUAGAGAUUUGAAUGAGAACUAAUAGUGACUUGAUAAUGUUUCGGUAAACAUAGCAGACAUAACUAUUACACAUUUUACCAGAAGGAAGAGCACAAAAAGCUGAAAGUGUUACCUUAAGAUAUUCAACAAGUUUGUCAACUUGAGGUCGGAAUUGAAAGCCUAGAACAAGAUCAAGCAGUUCACAGGCACUCUCAAUAUCUAUGCACUUUUGUUUGUCCUCUAAAUAAUACAAAAUAUCAAAAAUGUCAGGAAAAGAAAAGAUUGAAAUACAGAAGCAGAUUAAUUGUUAUAAAAUCAAAGGCCGAAAACCUGGUGUACCUGUCAAGCAAUAGCGAAAUGAAUAGGAGUAAAAAUCUGAAAAAUUUGUUGGCCUUGCCACCUGUAAUUUACAUCAAGUAUCAGCAUAUUUCCAUAUUUGAUCAACAAGAGCUAAAAAAGGGAGACAGUGGCCUGGUAUCAUCCAUAUGAAUCAGCUUCAGUUUAUUAUUGGAGCCGGAAAACAUGAAUCCAUCACAUCCAUGUUUAAAUUGCUGCCCAUGAUAUUCAAAACAGGGAUAUGGAAAUGAGAUAAAUUCUUUCCCCAUCUGUAUAUCUGAUAUCAAAUAUACUUCAAAUUAUGAUUACCAACACUAACCUAAUGAGAGGACUUAUCUGAUUAGUAUCUACUGACAUAUUCUCUUCUUAUUAUUUCUUUACUUUUGCUUUCAGGCUUCUUAUUCAAGAAAAUCAAGUGGAUUGGAAACUCAAAAACAAUUAUACCAUGAAGUUUUUGACAAACCUUAAGUAUUAUUAGGUGAUUCAUCUGCUUUAUCUAUUAUCUACAUCCAUGUCAAUCUUAUAUAUAGUCCAAUUUCACAUUGGUUGUACCUUCAAAGCAUACAUGUAUUCAUUUCGAACUUAUACGGUUUACAGGGUCAUCCAACACCCUCUGUCCAAAUUCACAUACUCUUGACUAAAAGUGCAUAGAUAUACCGUUUUCUCAAUGUCUAAUUCCUGUCCCAUCAGUUUUCACCUUAAAGAAAAAAAACCUUCUAAGAGCUUAGAUCUGAAUAUUCACACAAGAAACACAUAAAUUAGGAAGAAGGCCAUACUAGGCAAAGAUUUAAUAGACAGCAAAUUGACCUCUUUCUCCAAUUCUGAAAGUGACUUUUUCAGUUUGCUGAUAGUGUCAGCAUGCAGUGCUUUUAACCCCCUACGCCACUCUUCCUGUUGCAGAGGGCAAACACAUGCAAGUCAAAAAAAGCAUCGAAUGUUUUCAUAAAAUAUGCCCUUCAGCUAUGUUAAGAAAAAAAAAAGAACACAUACCAAGGUAAAAUAUCCUUGUUUUUCAGCUUUCAUUUUCCUGACAAAAUCAGUGUCCACGAAUGGUUAGACAGCAAUGCAGAAGAUUGCUCAAUGACAGAAAAAAGUUACUGAACAUGUUCAUGCUAUUCAAUAAUGAAGGUAUUGAUAUCAUACCAGGCAAGCAUAAGUAUCCUGACAUCAGUAUAAUCAACCUCCAAAUCAGAACAGAAAGACUCAAUGCCUUCAGGGCUGUGGACAAUAAAAAUCUAAUAUUAACAACAUAAACAGACCAGAUUUAGUUCUCAGUGAUUUAUGUUAACCAUGAAGGGAAACUACUUUAUUUUAUAAGAUUGUCAACUAAAAAACUACAAAUAAAAAACAUAGUAUUAUCUCAUUACAAGAUAAAACAAAAUGGUCAAGUAUUUGAGUCAGUUAUUUCACAAAGCUUUCAAAAGACCAUCAUAGUACCACGUUAUUAAAGAUGGAUGCACAAACAAAUACUUUUAAAAGGUAAUGUCUGCGUAGAUAGCAACCAAAUGACACCAGAAGCAUAAGCAGUGCCGGAUCGAUUAAUAUAUCUAUAGAUGAUUAUGUUAAGUUUCUACAGCAACGAAAUUGAAUCAUCAAAUAGACUGUCAAAUUGUCAGACAAUGACCAGGAGAUGGUCCCCUCCUCCUGGUUGACAUUAGAACACAGUCAAUAUUCCACCAUUUUGGACUUCGAUAGACACCAGAGAGAUUUUUUAUCAGUCAAAUGUACAUCUACCAGAAACAAAGUGAUCAAAAGUAUCAGAAUACAUAUUGAAUCAACAAUAUGACAAACAGGUUUCUUCUAACUGAAAAGUCUCAUAUGAAGUAACUUUUAAGUUGAACAAAGGUCUCUGCCAACUCAUUAGAUGUACAUCAAAAGUCCCAUAUAUAGUAUAUUUUUAUUUCAAUAUGUAUUCCUAAAAUUCUUCAGUCUCUGCCAACAAAUUUUCCUUACUGACUUUUCUCAAGCAUAAUCAAAACCUUCAUUCGAUUAUCCAAGUCAAAGCCACUUUUGAGUCUAUGUCUACGUCUAAACAAAAACACUUGUGGAAAUACUAGAAAGACUUGAAUUACUCCACAGUUUAACAUAGCAAACUCCACCAAUGGAUUUUAAAUUAGUUACUAAUCUAAAAUCACAAUUGCACAGGUGCAAAGUUAAAAUUUAGUAUACAUUGAAAUAUAUAUAUAUAUGUAUGACAAAAAAAUAAACCAGAGAUCGCCUUUUUCGCCAAAAACACCAAGUAAAAAGCCAAUGUUGAAUACAUAAUGGUUAUGUUCAGAUCUGCAGCACAUCAUGAAAGUCGUUGAUAAAAUCUUACUCGAUCAAUCCAGAUGAGGCAUCUGCAUAUGCAUAGAAUAGGUUGUCUAUACGUUCCACCUCCUUCGAAACAGCUUUACUAGAAGCUAAACACAAAGAAAUUAAUAGAACAUUGAAGAUCGUGCCAUAAAUUUUACUCAAAAUACAAGAUUUUUUGUUUAACCUCUUAUCUAUAUUUCAACAAUUUGACAUUCAACAUGAAUAAGUACGGUCAACAAACUAGCAAGAUGCUCAAAGCAAAGCAAGUAACAGAAAAAAAAAGAUUAAAUUUCAAACUUUAUAAGGACAUACAGGCACAUGAUCCCAUUCCAAAUUAGGGCAAAUAAAAACUUCUUCCUACCGAAGCAAUUUUUCACCUUAUCACGCCAUCCUACCUUCCAAAACAAAUUUUACCUUGGUUAUCAUUUAUUAUCCCAAUUCAAUUUGUCUGAAAUUUCUAUUUUUCUUGAGUGAUCAGUUAGUUCAGUUGUUUCAGCCUGAAUUGGCUACCAUUUGAUUGGACUGUGUAGUUUCCGCUAAUUUCCAACAAGCCCGCACAGGUUCUAACUGAUUUUGGUUGUUUAUGUGCUGGACAAAUCAAUUUUUGUGUGUCAUAGACAAUCCCUGACUAUUUCCAGCCAAUCCAUAUUUUAGUUAACUUUCGGUUGUUUCAAAAAAAAUCUCACAGUCCAAUUCAAACUGAUCCAGAUCCUAAAUCUCACAGUUACUUCAGACCAUUGGACCUUGAGUCCAAAUUCUUAUUCCUCACUCUAUCUGACUUGGUUUUGUUUCGUUUUCCUUUGCUUUUUUUUUCAGAAAGAUGCAACCCACAGAUAAUUUCAUCAUAGACCCAUAAAGGGAUACAUUUGACCAAAAAUUAACUUUAAAAAACCUUACACCGAUAAUUGAAAGUCGAAAUUAUGUAUAAUCCCCAAAUUAUUGAGUCCUCAACAAAUCAACCCAUACAGCAAUAACAAAGUCGUAAAGUCCCAACCAUUCCGAAUCGGUUAGAUGGAUCUUUUGCCAUCAUUGGGAUAUGUAAACAGUAAUAUGAUUAAUUAAGUUAAAAAUAUUUAAAUCUUUAGUUAUAAUUUCUAUUCGUCGAUCUCUCCUCGUACCAUUAAUAACAAUCAUUCACCUCUUUUAAGUACUGCAUCUACCUAUAUAGGUCUCAUGGGCACAUGUGCAUACCAUUUUAAAAUAAAUUUGAUUACAGACCCCAUAAAAAUAUACACGCGGUCACAAAUUUAGAAAAUCCCUUUGCCAAAAAAAAAUGAAAAUUAAACUACAUAUAUUUCCCACAUUGUAGUCCUAAAAAAUUCUGUGUUCUGUUCGUCACAGGAUAUACUAUAUCAUAUGGUAGUAACCACACCCUAUCAGAUCGUUCAAUCUAUAAGUCUACUGUGCUUACAACUAAACAGAUUAUAAUUUACGCCAUCACGAUCCUAGCAAUAAACUGUCAAGCAAUUCUACAAACAACGCCAAUUCGUCUCAACCGGCAUUAUAUAAAUCAGCAAACACCAUCAAAAUAGAUUCAAGACUUGAACUAUUUCCCAAUUCCUCACGAGAAUCCAAGCAUCACCACCGCCAGAAGGGCGUUUAUCGAUUUCACCGAGGAAAUGGAACCAAAUCGCACACAAAAGAAGAAAGUCGUAUACCAAUCCACAAACGAAACAAGAAAUCCAAACAAAUAAUAGAUUCAUCAAGUUCCAAACAACAGCGGGAAUGGAUCUGGGCUACCACUUACCGGAGCGGUAGGCAUCCGAGGAGCCGGAUGAGGGGUUCACGGGCAAGGCGGACCCCGUCUUCCGGGUGGAGGAGCGUCUCAUCUCGCUGGCGAGGGAUCGAGAGACGGCGCGGUGAGGAACGGGGAGGAGUAGACGCGAAGCAACGCCGUGGGCUUUUGGGGAUUCGAUUCGAAUCCGAUGGGGAAUUAAGAGUCUUAGGUUCUAAUGUCGAACACUUCCAUUAGAGGCCAAUGCAAUACGCUACGCUACGUAUUUCAUUUGGAUUUGCUUCCGACGUAUUUUAGAUUUUCGCCUUGCCCACGUCUGUCCACCCGCUUUAUAAUUGGUGCAAUGGAGAUUGGUCCCACAUGGAUUGGCACAAGCGUCGGCGUUGCGAGUGCAAUUACCGUCAUCAUCUUCACCCCCACUAAUUACUCAUCAUUAACACCUUUCGGUAUUAAUUACAUCGUUAUAUCUUUACUAUCAUAAUUGUUUAAAUUAUUUCUAUCACUAACACCAUGCAUCAUUAUUAUCUUUCCUAUCAUUCUAAUAACAUUUUUGUUACUUAAUUAUCAUCAUUGCCAUCACACAUCGUUCUUUACCAUCAUCGCCAGUUCAUUACUUUCCUUCCUCAACAGUGGAUUGUAUUUAUCAUCAUGUAUACUCAAUUUGAUCUGGAAAAAUAAGUACUAUUCUAAGUAUGCAAUAGUGGAUUAGAUUAUAUUUUCUCGUGUAUUUAGGAUUUGCUAAAGACUAAUAGGUUGAAAAAAAUCCUAUGUUAAAGUAAUUAGCUAAUUUUGGAUUAUGAUAAGAGUAAUUAGUAGGAGGGAUAUAAGGAAGAUUAUUUGGGAAGGUAUCCAAAUUUAAGGUUAGUGUGAACAUAAGUUCAUAAACCAAUGAUUUAAUUAAGCAUUCAUGUCAUAUGUUACAUGAAUUAACUAUAUGAUCGGGUCAUUAACGAGCCGAAACAUUUGUUAAUCCGAGCUCGAGCCAUACUCAAAUAUCUAAUUAAAUUCACAUUCAUAUAUAUAUUUAUGUGUCUCGUAGAAACCUUCGACUAUUAAUGCUUCCAACAAUGGCAGGUACUCUUCUAUGCAUUCCUGUACGACGAGUCCUCAAAUCCCGCACCAAAUAAGCGGGGGAUUGUAUUCUGAAUGCAAACGAGAAGAGCAAAAGGUGACUACAGAGAAGCGUAGCAGAGCUCCACGCCGAGGUUGGAGUCAAGCAGCUCCUCUAUCAUCUGCUCGACCUGAUGCUCCUCCAAGUAGCUGAACUCAACCUCAUCAGUACCACUCUCUUUCAUGAUCCAGUUAGGAUAUACCGGUUGCUCCACGGCCACCGUCAUCUUGUUCUUGGGCCGAUCAACGACGGAGACCGACACCUUGAGCGCCGGUGAGUUCCUCACGACGGGCUGAGGUGCUGCUUCAAGAGACGCCAGGUUGCAGCGGUGUAGCUUCGCAGUAAGCGCGGCCGAUAAGUAGUUGGUCUCCGACGAAGAAGAGGCGGAGUUGGGAUUGAAGGGGAAGUUGGUUCUUGCUCUCGGACCGGCGACGAGCCUCGCAGCUUCGUCGUAGGCUCUUGCGGCGUCCUCUGCGGUCUCAAACGUGCCCAGCCAAAUCCUCGUCUUCCUACAGUAGUGUCCAAUUCUAGAGGUUAAUAAUCAUGCAGCUACCUGAAGCAAACCGAGACCAGAGCUAAUGAUCUGUAAGUAGGGAUGUAUACAGCAGCGGAUGACGAAUCUCCGAGACCCAGGAGCCCCACUGCCGCUGUCGAACGCCUCGAUAUCGCGGCUGCGGCCUAACCAUGGGAACAAGCUGCUGCCUUUCUUCUCCUGGGCAGUGGAGUGGGAUGGAGAAGAAGAUGGUGGGGGGCUUUUGGGGAGGAGGAGGGAAGGUGGGUGGAGAGGGGAGCUCUACUUAGCUUGUUGUGAGAUGUGGAGCCUUUCGAAAGCAUUCUGCGAGCAAAUUUAGUGCUGGGACCAACAGAGGUUGGUCAUCAUCAAUUUCCUAUUCCAUUUGAUUUCCUUGUGCUGGGGAUCAGGCAGUGUCAAGUAUGGGCUUUAGAUUUGCAGCUAUCUCCUGGUCUUUGCAAUAUCUGACUUGUUCAUGUCUGACAGUAAAAUCGCCACUGUGGUAAUAGGAUAAUGAUAAGCUUGGAGCUAGGAAAGUAUCAGUGUUACUGUUCUAAUGGAGUAUCUUUCCUCUACAUUCCAGGUGCAAUGCAUCAACCAUAUCAUGCAUUUUGCAGCUCCUGCUGACCGAUACAGUCCAUUGCUGCUCUGCCUUGGGACCUUGCGGGCUGGAGUCAUUGCAUGCCCAUGUCUUGCUGCCGAAAAGGGAGGAAACCUGUGCAUAUGCUGCACAGUUUCUAAUGGAAGUUCGAUGGUUUUGUGUUGGUAAUGGCCGCAUGAAACCUCUUCGGCCAACGUGAGAAGAGCCUCCACUUCCUUUUCCCAGGCAAAGUAGAACAAGCAGAGCACACCUGCGCUGCAUCCGUUGCUCACAAUAGAUAGCAGCAGACGUUAAUGGACAGAUCUUGGAUGGUAUCAUCCGUCAUCCUCUCACAUGGAGGUGGUGCGUAGCAGCAUACCUGAUGCUUGUUUCUUGUGCUCCUUCAAUGAACCAGUCAUGGGUGACACUGUUCAUAUAAUCAUCCAUGUUUUUUUUUUCAUUGUAAUAUAAAUUAAAUUAUCAUAAAAUAAUAUAUUUAUUUUAUUUAAAUUAUUAAUUUUUUUAUUUGUGUAAUAUAAUUAAAAAAAUUAAAAUUAUUUUUAAAUCAUGUAAAUAAGUUAAAAUUGUUAUCAAUUAAUUAAAUUAUUAAUUUAUUUAUUUCAUAAUGAGUGAUGUGAUUUUCAGAAAGUAAAUAAUUUAAAUUUUAUUUUUAUGUGAACCAUAAGAAAUAAAUAUUUCAAUUCUAUCUUUAUAUAUAUAAAUAAAAUAAAAAUUAAAUUAUUAUUUAUUUUUUAGGGAGAACUAAUCUUAUAUUCAUAUUUUAAAGAAAGGAUUCGUGGAUAAGAGAUAGGAUAUUUUAUUCUUUUGUUAUCAACUUAUAUUCAUAUUUUAAAAACUUUAUUAUUAGAAUUAUUAUAAUUUAUAUAAAGCAUAAUAAUAUUUUAAUUUUAAAAAUUUAUGAAUAAUAAAUAAUGAUAAUUGAAUUAUGAUGUUAGAAUGAUUAGUUAAUUUAAUAAUUAUUCUAAUCAAAUUAUUUUAAGAAAUUAUAUAUGAAUUUUUAUGAUUUAAUUAGUUUUAAAUUUAGAAUCAUCAAUCUAAAUUAGUUAAUUUAUGAAAAAUAAUGGAUUGAAGAUUAAUUAUUAUUUUAUAAUAUUUUAAUGUACUUAUAAAAAUAUUAAAAUCUAAUUUUAUAAGAGAUGUCAAAUUGAGAUUAACUUGAGUUAAGUUGAUUAGCCCGACCAACCUAUCUGGUUAAGCAUGACUUAACCUAUAUAACUAGAUAUGGUCAAGCUCAUGAGAUUAGGCAUAAUCUAGCUUAUUCGGUAACAUACGACCCAACUUAUGUGGUCAAACAUAAACCAUUUUGUGUGACUAGGUACGACCUAACACAUGUUGUCAGGCAUAAUGUAGCUCAUGUAGCCAAUUAUAGUUUAGCUAAUGUGGCCAAAUAUAACCUAACUCAUAUGAUUAGAUAUGAUGCAUCCCAUGUAACCAAGUGCAACCCAACAUAUAUGGCCAAGUAUAGCCUAAUCUAUAUAUUUAAAUAUGACCAAGCCUAUAUGACUAUAUAUAGUCCAACCCAUAUAGUUAGGUAUGACUCAACCUAUGUAGCCACGAUGCAACCCAUGUGGCCAAGUGCGACUCGGCUCAUAUAGCUAAGCAUGUCCUAACCCAUGUGGUCAGACAUGGCCCAAAGAAUGUAACAAUGCACGACCCAAUCCGUAAAUCAAACGUGGCCUACUUUAGUAGUAAGACUUAGCCCAACUCGUGAGUGAGGCUUAACAUAUCAUGUGAAACUAGGCCUGCCCAAUUAUACAACUGGCGCUAAAUGCAUCAUCACCUCUUUAUCUAAUAUGUUGUACAUUAACCCAAUCUAGUAUCUAGGAUAAGCAUAUAUGGCAGACGUGAUAUGUUUAAGACUUAAGUAGGUCAGUUUGGUCUGAGUUAGCACCAUCAAAUAUAGUUCAAUUUUCUCUCAUUCUAUUGGUUUAAGCUCGUUAAUUGAUUAAAUCAAACUGGUUUUAUCGAUUCUAACCGGUUGAAAAUGAUUCUAAGUUAGUCUAAUCAAUUGAAGUCUACUUGACUUAAUUUAAAUCAAUCAAAUCUAAAUUAGACUAGUUUUAGAUAAUUCCAAACCGAUUAUAUAAGGAUUUGAGAUGGGUUUCAUUCAGUCAUAAUUAAAUUGAGUUUGGUUCGAUUGGGCUAUUCCAAUUAGAGGAUUAUUGAGAGAUUAAUGUCUCAUUUUCUUUAUAAUUUGAAGUACUUAAAAGUUUUAUCUAAAAAUAAUUAUUAAAUUUUUUUAUUUUUUAGAUUAAAUUGAUAAUAUGGAUAUGAUUAUUACUACGUAGUAUAUAUGACUACGUUGAGUGGUCCACAUUGAAAAUGUAACAUGUGAAAGAAGCUAUAGAUAUAUCACGGUGUGAAGCCACCAAUCAACAUAGUCUAGUAAGUCAUACAUUAAAUAAAAUCCCUCAUAAUAUUUUAUCAUACUAUUUCUUAAAUGCAUAAAUGAGCGGAUGAAUAUAAAUAAAAUGAUCAUGAUUGAUUAUAUAUCCCAAUCGAAGAUAAAUAGACGAUUCUCUUUGAGGAUUAGCGGCUAUCAGACUAUUGGACAUGAUGAUAAGAUAAUUCCUCUAUCUACUAUUGGAAAAAACAUAUCCUCACUUGGAUAGGUGAGAAAAAUCAUUUCAUUUGAUAGAAUAUGUCUCUUCAUCCAUUAUUAGAAAAAUACACCUGUGAUGUUUGUCUUUAUUAUUUGAUUGUUAUUUAUAUCAUCAAGAUGUAUUACAUAUGACUGAUGUAUCAUUUUAUUUAUUUACAUAAGAAUUAUUAUUAUUUUUUAUACAUAAAUUUUAUAAUGAAUUGAUAUAUUAUUAUUUUAAUUAAGUUAUUGAUAUUUAUAUAAUAUUAAAGAGUAUUUUUAUAAUUUUUUAAAAUUACAUACCAAAUAUAUUGUUAUUUAUAUAGUUUUUAUCUUAUAUUUAUUUUUAAAAUAAUAUAUUAUUUUAUAAAUAGAUUUAAAUUUUGGUUGAAGAAUUUUUUUUUCACUUGUAGUUUUGCUAAGAUACGAUUUUUUCAGUUACAAAAUAUUUAAUAUUAUAAAAAAAUAAAUUUUAAAAUAAAAAAUAUAAUAAAAUAAUAUUUUUUUUAUAAAUAUGGGAUGUGACAGCUUCCAUGUGCAAUCCACAAUCAUGUGAAAGGCGGCUCAUAAGGCUCUUGGAUCACGAUCUCCAGUGUUCUUAUGCUGCAGACAUUUCUGAGUGCUGGGCCUCCAACCAGGGAGGGAUGGAUUCAGAUUCUUGGACGACCUGUCUCCUUUCCGUUGGAAGUUUUCCUUUUUGAAGAGCACAUCUGAAGCGAUUUGUCUUUUAAUUGAUCAUUCAAGAGAUGCUUUCACUCUCGAGUACAGAUAAGAUCGGUAAUAAAUCUACACCUUGCCAUUUUCCACAAAAUUAAUUAGGGUUUGUAUACAGAAGAUUUUUCUUUUAUCCUUGAAUUCAAAUUUCUAUCUUUAUAACCAUUUCUAAGCUAAAAAUGAGUAUAAUUCCUAUCCGGUCUCAUGGUAGAUACAAUGGAUUUAGCACAAAAACAUGUAGACCUUUUUCCCUUGUAAGGACUCCGACACAAGUGAGUUUAUCCACUUCACAAAUAGCAACAACAAAAAAAAUCUUGUAACAAUUGCAUACUGUAUCUCCCCAGGUCUCUCUUUUUGCUAUAAAAGAAAAAAAAAAUGUAACAAAUCAUAGAGUUUCUGGGAGAAGAAACAUCAUCAUAAAGCAAUAAUUGUUUGCCUAAAAAUCCCUAGUGUCAAUGAAACAACUCUCCUCAUAAUAUAUAUAGCUUCUUUCAGGCUCAUCGCGAAGAUUACCCAACCUAAACUCCUAAAGAAGAAUGAAAUUUUGAAAAAAAUCAAACAUAGAAAAUCGCACAACUUAUCCAACCUUAAAGUUGACAAUAAAAUUGAACCACUCUGUUUGAGCUCAAAGGGAAAGGUAAAAACAAUCUGAUCGACUGAUGAUCUGACCGCUACCCUGUAUUUUCUAGCCAAUUCUGUGGUCUACUCAUGCACAAAUAAAGGGUAACACAAUGGUAAAAAAAAUGACAGUCCUCUUUAGUUAAACCUUCAGAUUCAAUAGUGCUACACUAAUUAAAUAUCAACUUCAUGUAAAAAUGGAAAUACUGAAUCUCAAUAUUUAGUUAACAUUUUUUGUAUAUCGGUAAAAACAAUUAAUAAAUGCUUAUAUGAAUAUAGUGCAGAUCCAUAACAUAAGCAUGCCCAGGAAUAACAAACUUGCUGAAAACAUAUCCACGUUACCGAGCACAAUCAUAAUUGUUAUUCUUUAUUGAAGUCAGCAAUGAAUUGUUGUUAGUGGACAAUUACAUUAUUAAACUAGUAGUUGAAUGGCAAACAGGUCUAUUAUAGUAGUCAAAGGCAAUUGCAGAAAAUUUGAAUAUGUGUCGAUUGACAAUUUUAAGACUAUUUUUUUUUGUGUUUUCUUUGUGUAUUUUGUUAAAAAUAGAGUGAACAUUUUAGCAUGUCCAAAGUGAGUGGUUAGGACAUUCGGUAAUAGUAAACUUUAAUUUGGGUGCUUUAAGCAAAGGUCUUCCAACCUGCAAUCAACUAAUUUGUUCCCAGAUGGAUAAAAGGAGGGCUUUCAUCUCAUGCAUAUAUGUGCAAUUUGCAUAUCUUUCCAUCCUAAAGCAAGCUGACUACUAACAUGGUACUAAGUGUGUAACACUAUGGUGAGGCAUCUCAUGAUCAGCAAACAGAGAUAAAAAAAUGCCAAGAGAAUAAGCACGUGAUGCUAGAAAAACAAAGAUAGAACACUUAAGUGUAACCUUCCGAUUAGCAAACAAGUCAUUAAGCUUGCAAAGAUACUCAAAUGACAAGGAUCAACAAUCUCACAGUGACUUAUAUACCUUUUGUAUAAAGAGAUUCAAAAGCAUACUCAUCAGGAGGACUCACUUUUAAUAAGUCACUAAAAGAGGUAACCUUCGAAUUAGCAAACAAAUCACCAAGCUUGCAAAGAUACUCAAAUGACAAGGAACAACAAUCUCACAGUGACCUAUAUACCUUUUGUAUAAAAAGAUUCAAAAGUAUACUCAUCAGGAUGACUCACUUUUAAUAAGUCACUUAAAAGAGGUUUUGGUUUCAAGCUUUUUGGCAAGUAUGUUAUUAGUUACAAAAGUAGACAUCAGACUUAUGCACUGAAUGUUUGAUGGUAAGUGCACUAAUACAAUGAAACUCUAUGGAAAAAAUAGCUUCUCCACCCCUGUUUUAUUUUUCCUUCUUUAAUAUGUGAGAAGCUGAAAUAUAUCUCUUUGAUAUUCUAAAGUGGGUUCACACUGACAUCUCAAUCAUGUUGCCGAGGAAAAUUUGAAUAUUUUGCAGUAUCACAUUGAAAUGAACGGUUUAUAUCCGCAAAAAGAGAGAGAGGAACAUUUGAGUAAUCAACUAGGAAGCUACAAUAAGAUUGACUGAAAGUCACUGCUUAGUUAGCUAUUUAAAUAAGAAGAAUAUCACACCUGAAAGGACAUUCAAGCAAGCCCUUCACAUGCUAUUUUCAGAAUUCAAAAGAGGAGGGUGACGAUCCCUUCUCAGCAGCAAGUCCCAAAAUUUCAAGCAGCUCAGGGACCUUUUCUUUAUACGGCAUAACAAACUUCUCCAUAACCUUCUUAUCUGGUAAUACUGCUAAGGAAGUUAGAUUGCAUUUUGCAGUCCAUAACCCUUUCGACUUCAACAGCUCCAUCACACGGAACCGAGGAAUCAGCUUCUUUUCCAGAUUAUAGCACAAAAUCAAUGGCUGGUCGGCGAUGCAGGAAGGCUUGUACCCAACUUCCUCGGUCAAAAAUUCCAUCUUUCUCCGCAGAGCCUCCUGGGAAAUAGAUAAGAAGGCCGGCAUCUUCCUGACAGCAUUGGAGAACUCUGACUCUGACCACCCAGAGCUCAUCAUGAGCUUGACCUUGGCCUCGACUCUUUCUUUGCUGACCAUGGAGAGAGCAUAAAGAGCUCACAUAAACUAAAGCCCCCAGAUUCUCAGCUCUAACGACUAAAGCCCGGAGUGAAUCUAAGCUCCGCACAAGAAAAUUUGGGUGCUGUCUCGCGACACGAGAGAUCCUUUCUUCAGGAAUACCGCACUCAUUCCUAAAGAAAUUAAGAUUAGGCUGUACCGUCUUCUCUAUGCUGCAGCCGAAAAACCAUUUCUUGUUGACAUGCUUAACAAGGCGCUCCCUCGAUCCAAUCAGACCUUCCCACAUCUUCAAUUUGGAAAGGACGGAAUCGUGGAAUCUAAGGCGAAGGAUGCAGGGAUUUCGACAAGAUGAUCACGACGAGGUCGGUCUCCGAGAAUCCCAUUUCGCGGAAAGAUUGAAACUUUGGGGCGAGAUUAUCCUCCACGUUGCAACAUAGACACCUAAGGUAAAUCUGGACCAAUUUCUUGAUGUGGGAACCGUCGAAGCCGUGCAAUUUCAAGAAAUCAAGGACGACGUCGGCUUUCUUGGUGGUUCCGAAAUGGACGAGGGCCUUGGAGGCCCUUAAGGCCUCGGCGUCGGAUAACCCACAGGACUUCACGAGGUAUUCAGACAAGGCAAGAAGUUCCGGGGGACUGCGGCAGGCAGCGGCGGUGUUGGCGGUGGAGGAGGAAGAGAAGAGACACCCUAGGAAACAAGGUCGGAAGUAGGGCAGGAGGCUCCUGCGGCGAACGACCGAGGGCAGCAUCGUAGCAGCGCUUGCAACGCUGAUGGCGCAAGAAAAUACUAUAUCCCGCGCGUAUACAGUACAAAAUUACAUGUGUAUCCCUGGCGGUUCAAAGUCGAUAAUUUUCGUGUUUGCCCUUCUAUUUUUUUUGUUUAUAAUAUAUGUAUAUAUAAUUAUUAAAAUUAUAAUACAUCUAUGUUUUAUAAUAUUAAAAUUUAAUUGAUAUUAAUGUUUCUUUAAACAUAAUACAUCCAUGUCUUCUCAAAUCGAAUAAAACAAUCAGUAUUUUAAUAUUUUAAGUCUAAAAAUAAGGAGUCAAAUAAUCUGAAAGCAUAGAGGGUAUUAUAUCUAUUUUAAAUUUAUGUAUUUUCUUGAAAACCUAAUUAGGAAGUGAUCAACAUAAGAUCAUUAAAUGGAUAUAUAUAUAUAUAUAUAUAUAUAUAUAUAUAUAUAUAUAUAUAUAUAUAUAUAUAACUGAAAAAUAGGUUAGAUAAAACUUUGAAAUUACAUGUAAAACCCACAUAUAUUACUCAAAAAUAUGAUUAUGAUAAUGAUCCUUUUAAAAUCAAUAUAUUUAUAUAUGUGUGUAUAUGUGCGCCUUCUUAGUUAAUCCAUAAUAGAUGUUAGAACAGAGGUGCUUAAAUUUUGAUGACAUUAUUAGGAAUUUUAAGGAUGCUAUAGUUUUAUUUUCUAAAUUCAAAUUAGAAACUUCAGCCAUGAUUAACAUUUGCAAACUUGAGUUUUGUAUAUGGUUGAAUACUGAUGAAAGGGAUUUAUAUGAAGUCCCUUAAUAUUUGAUAGCACAUAUAUGUUAUAUUGAAUCAAGAAUGUUUCCUAACUGAAGUAUCUAUCAGUAUCCUAAUAUUCUUGGCAGGAUAAAGAAUGUCACUAGAAAAAGAUUUCAAACACUUGGUUCUUUUAAAAGUAUUCCCCAGGUUUUACCACACCCCUAUCAACCCAGUCAACAUCAAAAGAAUCAGAUUCAUCAAAAUUGGACCAGCCUACAAUUCUGGAAGAUAUGUUUCAUGUGAAUAAUAUGACAUUCAGAUCCCCAAGCCAGAAGAUGACAUGCAAAUAAUAUGAGGUUGGGAACUUGUGCCAGAGUAACAUUCAGAUCAUAUAUCUUUGGCCCCAUAGGAAUGUCAUAAUCAAACAUUAUCAUUGUAAUUCUUAACCACAGCAGAUUGAGUCCUAGAAGAUUUAGUAACACCAUCAUCAGCAGACAAAACCCAAGUAUCCUCAUGAGAACCAAUCCCACAACAGAGGAUUCAUGUGAAACUGCCAUCAUUUAAGAUCUUACAGAGGAUUUAGUAACCACAUCCCACCUUUUUGUCCCCCUGCUUGAAAAGUGAGGUGGACAAAAUUAAGCUAAGAAGCCUGUAGUCCCCUCCAGCAAAACUUUUGCCACAAGCUUGAGUGGGUUGACACCAGUUCCAAAAUUAGAAGAGCCUAUAUUGAUCAUCCUGCAAAACAAACAAAGAAAACAGAUCUGGUUAUGUGUUUUCCUGAGGCACCACCAACCACCAGUUGUCCGUACCAAUGCUUGUGCAAGAUUCAUUCCAAGAGAGGGAAUUGCAACUGAACAUAAGAAAUGGAUCUAUUCACCAAGACAAGUUGAAUGGGGGCUGGAAGAAGAGAAAGGUUCACAACAAAGGAGCCUCCAGCAAUCAUCACUCCCAUUGUAGAUCUUCCACAGUCAUAUGGGGGGCAGUGCUCUGCAAGUCAAUACUUCCAAGUACUCCCUGCUAUUUAGAUUUGCAUACCCUUUGUCCAAUUAAUCACAUAUUUUUCUCGAUGAUACCUUGCUAUGUCGAUGCAGUUGAUCAUUAGAGUGAAUAGAAAUUUCAGCAACAUAAUUUAUAUGAGAUAUUACUGCUCACCAUAUCUAUGAUUGAGUCAAUUAAUGGCUAAUUAGUUCCAUAAUGUACAAGCCCAUCAGAAAACAUAUUCAUCGAUGUAGCAAUUAUUGCCAUUUGCUAUUAGAUAACAAUGCAUAUCACGUCAAAUAUACUGCAGUUUAUAUAUUGAUGGUCUAAGUGAUAUUUUAAGAAGCCUGAUAAGUAGAAUUGAUAUUGCUUGUUCAUGUAUAGUGUGAAAUGAUAUAAUCAAUAGUGGCAUACUUCUAAUGAGAGAUUUGUUUCCAUAAGAAUUUUUGGAUUGGGGAUGGAAUCUACAAUCAAAAUAAAAGCUCCAAACAAUAACAACAAAAUAACAUUGCUCCAAGAGAGUAAUAAAAUAUUGCUAUUCACAAGCUGGACAAUGGAGUCCAGUUCGUCUCCAGUCUCAUGGAACAUCUCAUGGAACAAGAAAGAGAUGGUAGGCCCCCCCCCCCCCCCAUCUCUNNNNNNNNNNNNNNNNNNNNUAACAAUGUUAGAUCUGACUGAUAUGUAAAUAGUGCAUUUCCUAGUAAUAUCUAGCCCAUGAUGAUCAUACAGACCACCAAAAGAGUAUACAUGCAAAAAUUACAAUGCAUAAAAGAACUUUAAAAUGUAAUAUUCUAAUUAGCAUGCAAAUGAAUCAGUUGACUAAAUAUAACAAUUCUAUAAUGCAUUUAUAUACCUUCUGCUCAGAGAUAUGCAAAGUGACAAAUCAGUAUGAGGAAUCACUCAAAACGAGUUAUAGAAACAAGACUUCGGUGUUUUAAGUAUUUUGUGAAAUUGUUGCUAGCCAAAAAUUCAAUGAAGCUCCUCGUACUCAAACAUUUGAUGGAGAUUAUGGAACUUGUAUGAAGACCUUAUGCAGAUAUUGCAUAACUCCUCUGAAAAUUAACCAUUAGAAACUCCAACAUGACAACGUCUAAGUACCCAUCAGGCAAUAAUUUGGACAGCCACAAGUUCCUACGGUAGAUCCAAAAUGUCAUCACAAUCAGAUCACUAGAAGUUUGGAAACCUUGCAGUUCACAGACAGACCAACUAUGGAGAAUUUACCAUGUCAAAAAAAAAUUAAAUGACAAAAUUUAAUUGAGCAAUCAAUCAUUAAGACAAAAAGAUUCGUUUAAAAUCACUCCUAGUCUCCUACUCUUGAACUUAUUAAACAAGAAGAAACCUACACCUGGAUAGACCUUCAAAUAAAACCUUCCAAUUCUAUUUUCAGAAUCCAAAUCUAGAGGUAUUAUCUACCGUAGUCAGUCACAAAGAUGUCAAGCAGGUCAGGGACAUUUUCUUUGUAACAAAGAACAAUUGCCCACAAAUUUUUUACUGAAUACAGUGGAAGGCAGCUCGUAUUGUACAUUGACUAUCAACUUUCAGUUUCAACAAUGAUAUUACACAAUAGAAAUGAAUAGUGUGAUUCUCCAGACUGCAAAUCAUUAGUCUUGACUGGCAGAUGAUGUAGGAUGGAAUACGUCUGACUUCCUUGACCAAAAAUUUCACCUUUGAUCAAUUUCAAAAUUAACUUGAAUUCAACCAACUAUUUAAAUUUGUCAGACAAUAAAUUGCACAGAGUUCAGCUCACAUGUUCCCAAGAUAAAUCUAUCCUACUUCUCAAUCAGGUUGCUGAGUGGAAUUUGAAUAAAAACUUGGCAGUUUCACAUCCAAAUAAACAAUUUGUCAUAUUCUUCAGAAACAUCAAGGAAUAAUUAGAAAGCUACUACAAGAUUGGUUCAGAAUUUCUGUUUAUGCAGUGCUGAAGAAAGUCACACCUGAACGGAUCAUCAAAUUUACGCUACUAGUUCUUCAACGCCUGAAUGGACCAUCAAGUAUGCGCUACUAAUUAUCAAAAUCCAAAAUGACAGAAAUCAACUCUCUUCUCACCCAGUCGCAACUUAUAAAUGUCAAGCAGCUCAGGAACAUUUUCUUUGUAACUGAGAACAAACUUCUCCACAAAUUUUGCAUCUUGUAUCGUUACAAGGGAAUGGAACUUGUACUGUGAGGUCCAUAACCCGUUCAACUUCAACAUCUCCAUCGCACGAAACCUAGGAAUUACCCUGUUCUUCAAACUAAACAACAACAGCGUCGGCUGAUGGGCGUUGCAGGAGGCAUGUACCCAACUUCAUUGACGAAAAUUCCAUCUUUCACUGCAACUCCUUCUCGGAAAUAGAUAAGAAUUUUGGCAUUUUUCUGAAUGCGGCAUGGAACUCCACCUCUAACCAACCCAAGCUUCUCAUGAGCUUGAUUUUGGCCUCAAUGUUUUCUUCGCAGACCAGGUAGAGGACAGUGAUGGUCCACAUGAAUAGCAUCGAUUCCCGGGGCAUCCCCAUAUCCUAAGCUCGAACAACCAAAGCCCGGAGAUUAUCUGUUUUUUAUGACGAAAUGUGGAUGAUUUCUCACGAUGAGACGGAUCCUUUCCUCGGAGAUACCGCACAUAUCCCUUAAGAACGACAGGUUGGGAAGCACCCUGUUCUCAAUUCAGUGGGUCAGAAACCGACGUCGCCUCUUGAUUUGACAUGCUCGAGGAGGAGCUCCCGUGAUCCAAACACUUCAUCCCACAUCUCCAACUUGGGGAGGAGGGAACGGUGGACGUCAAGGGAAAUCGACAGGAUGAAUUCAACGAGUUCGGAGUCCGAGAAGCCCAUGCUGCGUAAAGAUAGAAACUUUGGGGCAAGGUUCUUCUCCACAUCCCAGCAGAGGAAUCCAGCCAGGCUUCCAAGUUAUCAUCUUUCUGAGGUGCGCCAUCGAAGCCCUGGGAUCUCAUGAAGGUGAGGACGGCAUCGGGUUUCUCUGUCGAUCGAAGGUGGGCUAGGGUUUUAGAGGCCUCGGCCGCCUCGGUGGCGGAGAACCCGCAAGACUUCACCAGGUAUUCGACCAUCAAGCGGGUGUCAGGAGAUGCGCCAUCGGCUAACGAGGAGGAGAAGAGGUCGCGCAGAAGGUGGAGUUGUAACAAGGGGAGGAGAGCAUCGCGGCGAACUACGAAGGCGAGCGAGCAUCGCGGAGCGGUUGGAAAGGAGGAGGACAGCCACAGACGGCGGCGCCCUCUUUCAACUAUAGUGCGAGGUUCGUUAUGCGUUACUGAGGACAAAUGUGUCAAAUCAAGCUUCUUAACAUAUGUGUGUCCUUGCAGUAUUAUAUAAUUAACAAUAAAAAUAAAUUCUCGAAAAAAUUUAAUAAAUUUGAGAAUUUUUCGUGCAGCAUUACAAAUUCUUAGGGAGCACCCCAUGCGUGUGAAGAACAUUUUAUCUAUAAUAAAUUAAAAAAUUAAUUUUUUUUGAAUCUAUCAUCUUCAUCUUACACCAUCACUGUGAGGGUUGCUACUAUCUAUGUUUACCUUAACAAUCUUAUCCCUACAUGUUUUAUCCGUGAUUUGAGCAUAAGUAUCGUAAUUAUCAUUUAUAACGAACUUAUUGCAUGUAGUCAUUAUCCGCAUGUGCCCUUAUAUUAUCCUACGUGGGCCUACCCUUGUUUUACGAUGCAAGGGCGAUCGAUGGGAAGUGCAAAGCAGGCUCGAUAAGAGCUAAAGGUAAAAUAUUUAUUAAAAAAUAAUUUAUAAUUUUUUUUUUAUUUGGGAUGUUCCUAAAAAAUUCUUUAAAUUUAUGAUUUUUUUUGAAUUCGCUCUAAAAAUAAUGCGUUUAAAUUAUUGGAAAAAGAAUAUAUUAGUCAUAUAAGUUACUCUCUCUUGGGAGGGAACAGCGGGUCCCAUCGUGGCUUAGACAACGUCAUAUGUCCAAUCGCAACACUCGGUACACCGUCGGGUAUCAAGUAGCGGGUAGCUUUAGGACGGUUUAAAAAUAUAUUGGAGAAAUUCUUGCUCCAGGGGAAGCCCGUGAAGUCGUUCAGGGGUGAUAUGGUCUCGCAAGACCUGACGUGGCAGAAUCCACUCAUCAGGACUUGAAGGUUGACAAGACCGUAUAAGGGUUUCACGGUCGACUCACUCUUUCUGGAUUGGCAUUUGCUGGUGGUUCGUUGAAUGUCCCGCCCCGUCGCUGGCCGCUUCUCGCCUCGCCUCCUCCUUUCGCUCUGAAUCAAGCAAUGGGUUCGGGAAGCAGCUGCACGGCCCCGCGGUCGUCGCAUCACCGGCCCCGAGGCCGUCCGAGGCUCCGGCUCGCGUCCUUCCUCUGCGCGGAGCGGCCACCGCCGUCGCUCCCUCCUCCGCCGACUCUCGUCAGGUACUAAUCUGACGAUCAAGCGAAUUUCCUGAAAAUCUAUUUGUAUAGUACUAAUUUUUUGUCUCAUAUUCAUGGUGGAUGCCUUGAUUUCUUGCUUAAAAAGAUGAUAGAUCAAUUUUUCUUGAUCUUUUGGCACUAAUCUUUUUCGCUAUGUUUAUUUGCAUUUCCUUCUUUUGUUAUGACAUUUGAAAUACAUGUUUUUUAGAUCUAUGGAGGGCUUUUGCCUCUAAAAGUUAGGGUUAUCGUUGGGAAAGUGGAUCUCUUGUGAUUGAGGACUGCAAUGAAUGGAUACAUCUGACGCUUAUAGGCUGCUUAACUCUCUCGUUCUAUUUUGUUCACUAUGUUUGUUUAGCAUCUGGAGAUCUUGAGGAUGAAUGAAUUGGUGACCUAAGGUUGUUAGUAAUUGAAAUUGGGUAAAAAUGUUGAUACGCUCGAGCAUCGUAAUUAUGCAUCAAGCUACGGAAUAAUAACAAGAUUUCAAGAGUAGACAUUUUCUUAUAAAAUCAUAUAUUUAUAUUAAGGAGGCAUAUAAUCUGUCAAAAAAGCAAUAAUGGUGCUUCUGAAUAGAAUAUGGGGGACAUGAAGAGGAGGCAGGUGAGCAAAGGAAUUGGGUUAAAUUUAAGUUGUGGAAUGCUGGGAGAUUACAGUUCUUCAACCUCUAAUGGAUCUAUUUCAAAGAUGAGAAAUAUGUGUUCCUCAACUCCAUAAGAUGACAUAGCAUCACAUGGGAGCUUCUCUGAAAACAUUAAAAACACAUUAUUGAGCUUGAGCAAAAUAAGUUUCAGAUUUACACCUGAAGGUGGUGGAUGGAUCAUUUCUCAAUCUAGAGAAUUUUACUGUUUAUUUCAAUAGGUAGACACACACUUCUACAUAUACAUAUGAUCAAAUCAUGUUACCCCCAUUGAGGAAAUAUCAAAAUAAGCUGACUAUCAUGCAAUUACUGGAUUUAAAUUUGAAAUGCAAGAAUGUAUUUAAUCACUUUUUCCAGUAGUUAAUUGCAUGAAUCACAUUAUAUCACAAUCAAUAUUAAAUUUAAAUUCAAAGACUAUUGUAUUAUACCAAUGGCUUCAACAUAUACUGUGCAAACUUGAUGUGGAGGGAUAGGAUCAUAUUGUGAAACAAAAACCUGCUUGCGUCAAAACAUGGUUGGAGGCUUGGAGGAUGCAUGGGACAAGGAAAAGCUUCACUUGGAAUGAAGGAACAUAAGGUACUAAUAAUUGACUAAAUAAUUAGUUGAAAAGGUGGAUUAAUAAAUUUCACUCAAGAUUGAUGUGUGUGUGUGUGUAUAUAUAUAUAUAAACACACACACACACACACACAUAUAUAUAUAUAUAUAUAUGAUAAUAGAUGUGGUAGGUAAUUAUGUGCAAUUUUUGUAUUACUAACAAACAACCUAUGCUUCUGAGAGUUGGGUAUUCCAUCACACAUAUAUAUAUGAUAAAAGAUGUGGUAGGUAAUUAUGUGCAAGUUUUGUAUUACUAACCAACAACCUAUACUUCUGAGAGUUGGGUAUUCCAUCUUGCAUUUUGUAUGAGCUUUCAUAAGAGUGAAUCAACCUAGUAUCAAACUGUACUCUAUGAUGAUGAACUUCAAGUUGAUGGAAUGCCUAACCCUUGAAGCCUAUGAUUUGAGGGAGAGUUUGGUUGUCUGCCAGUAGAUUAGCCGCCUUCAAGUUCAUUUUGCAGCAAGCAAUCCGCUUGCAAAUGUACUGUUGUAUGUAAGUAGAUGAUUUUACAACAUGUGUACAAGUAACUAAACCCCUACAUUUUAUAAGAGUUUUACAGUUUGAAAUAUUGAAUGUUGCACUUGCGAACUGGAUUACAAGUCAAAAUUGGAUCAGAGUACCCUCAUUCUCUCACAUUACUCCUCUUUCUUCCUUUACUUUAGUCUGCAUAACUGUUAUCAUCUUCUUUCUAUUUAAACAUUGAUAUCAUCUCUAAUAUCUCAAUUACAAUUACAAUUAGUAACUAUACAUGCAGGCAUUUAAACAACUACACCUAUAACUUGCAGCAUUUGCUAUUUGUGGGCAUUUCUAAUUAAGAAAAUCAGAUAUCCUCAAAAUAUCCUGCAAUAAAUAAAAUAAAAUUCCAAAUAGUUAAUAGAAAAGAUAAACCAAGAUUGAAGUUUUGAGUCAGUUUAUUAAAAAAAUCAAGAGAUCCCGUAGCUUAAAUCAUCAAUAGAUGAAAAAUAAGGAACUAGUGAUCAAAUAAUUCUUGGCUAUCCUCCAUCACCAUCAUGCCUCUCAGUAUCCAAUCAUCGAACGGAUGGCUGAGAUGCAAUGGAUCAGGUCUCUGGUUCAAAAUAUUUCAUGGACUCAGUGUCUUUCAUAUCCAACCAUUGGAGUGAUUCCAAAGGAAGCAUAUAUAUUGCAUCCAAGGAGGUCCAAUAUGCGAUCGGAUUGAAAAUUUUGUAGGAAUUAAUGUCAUCUGAAAAUUUCAUUUUUGUUCUUGUUUCCAAUAGAUUUGUUGAUGGAUUGCAUCACCAGGGUAGAAUUAUAUAGAUUAUGCUGACAUAUCCAUAUAUCGAACUUCAUGUUACAUCUUUUGUCACUAAGCAUUUCACUUUUCGAAAUAGAAUUAUAACUACGGGAUAUGGUAAGUCCUAUCUAAUCGAAAAAAAGAAGCAAAAGUAUCGUAUAAGUGUCCGUUAGUUAUUGUUUUUUUGUUUCAGUUGUCCUUUGUGGAAUUGCUUUCAAGCGACUGGUUUUCUCUGGUCCACACCACCACAAAGAUUCCUAUUGUUUUCACUGGUUUUCAUCACUUUACUGUUUGAUGCAUUAUCCAAUAUUCCUAUUGAGGGUAGUUGAAAAAGAAAGCUAUUAUAACUUUUGAAGUAAAGGUCAAUAACAAAAUCGAAGUUAUUGGUGGGUGCAAACUAUGCAAAUCAUUUCCUGAAAAAAUAGGGUAAAUAACCCAGAUUUACCAUUGGCAAAUCUUAUUGGUUUAAGUGCUUUUGCAACAUGUUAUUUAUUGCCAUCAUAUGUAGAAAAUUAAUUAAUCACUUCUUUUUCAAGAUCAAGUGCUUUUACAGAAGUUCCAAUAAAAGUUAAUUCUCAGAAGAGUGCAUUGGAUUGAAAACCAACAAAUUGCCCGCAAAAGAAUGCAAUCAGGUACGUUAAACCAAGGGCAAGCAUGAAUUGCCCUAAUUUUAGUGGCGGUAUAUGCUGACAUUGAUGAGAAUCUCUUUCACAUCGGAUGCCCAGGUAGAAGCUCCACUAGCAUGCUCAAGAGGAGAUUGUCCUGAAGCAUGUUUCGGUAAUGUUUUGGCUCAGUAUAGCCACCACACUUAAUGGAGCUACAGGAGCACCAACUUGUAGAUUGUACUGAAGCUCUUGAUCAGGAAAACCAUGAGGUGACGAAAAUAAAUGUCUGACAUAAAGAUGGACUGAAGGUAAAAAGUACAAGUCAGCUUAAUGUAGAUCAGCCAAGGUUUUACUUUACUUACAGAUGCAGAUGAGGAAAUUGCAAACUAAAGAAUUCAUUACUGGUAUUAUUCUGCAGAUAUAACUCUAGGGCAAUGUUCAGACUUCGGAUCGGGCCUUGGCUAGAUGGCAAAGACUGAAACAUCCAACAUAAUUUUUAUGCUUUAGGGCAGUUCCCUCCACAUGGGACAGCCAUGCUCAUAUCCAUCAGCUUCAGCAGACACCUAAACCUCAAUAAUUCUCCCACUUGGAGUUGAUGGCUGUCAUUUCAGAAUGGGGACAUACUUUACCACUGACAAUACACCAUCUCAAUUAUUUCUUCAUGCUCACCUGUCUGUGUCAGUCUCAGGUGGUCAUUUACAUAUGGCCACCUAACAACAAGAACUCUCUGAGUUAAUCUCAUUAUUCCAAGUUAACAACUUUGGCGUAUGAUGAUCUUGUUGGCUUACAAUUUGCUCUUUGGAGAGAUUUCUUGCAGAUGUUAAGAACAAAUUAUUUAGUUUAUGACAGUCAAGACUGUGGCCUAGAAAGAGAAGAUAAUAUUUCAAGUUUGGUGAUCAAAUUGGGUCUUUGUCAGCCUUUGUUUGUCAUGACUAUGAUAAUGAUGACAUAGCUCGUAAUAAAUGACUUACAGAAGAAAAUGGUUGUGCUUUCUAAGGCUGAUGAUCAUCAAUCUACAGUGAUAUGACUAGUAUCUAUCUCCAACUAAAUGACAGGAAGAACAUAAACAAAUUGCAAGAUAAAUCUUGUUAAUAUAACCUAAUCAUGGAGACUAAAAAUCUAAUUGCAAGAUAAAUCUUGUUAAUUCUUUGCAAAAUGGAAUUGUACCCUCAGAAAAGAAAGAAAAAGUUGCCGAAGAUUAUGAUACUGACCAAAUAGGUAGAAGAUAUAUGUGCAAACAUGGCUUCUCUUUCUGAGUCAAACUUCCUCUGAGAUAUGGAAAAAGAGAGAUGCAAACUAGUCUUCAUCUAUUAACUUCAAAUACAUAAAUUUGAGUUCUUUUCUUUUGCCAAAAAUGAAAAUUAAUUUUUUUCUUGAUGUUGAUACAAGGAAAGAAACAAAAUGGGCCGCAUCUUGUCGACAUCAAACAUUAAACUUCAUUUAUUCUUCAGGGAAAAAAAAAAAAGAAAUCUAAAAAUGCCAUAAAUGUAGACUUUAUCCAUAUUUCAUACUUGAAAUACGAAUAGUUUUGGUUAUUGACCAAUGCAGAAUGAACAACAAGGCUGUGUUGAAAUUAUCAAUAUCUUUCUGGUAAUUAAACAUUUAGGAUCCAGUGAAGGAAUUAUGACCAAAACACUUGGAUGUUCAACUGGGUGUAGGAAUUCUUUGUGCUCAUCCUUCAUCAAAAUCAACACGAACAUCUUAAUCUUAAUCUUUCAUUGAAACCUACUGCUUAUGUUCCACCAAACAUGCACAAGAGCAGCAGAAACUUACUGCAACUUGGAUCAGUUUAGGGUCUAAACACGAUGAUGAAGCCUCGAGUGGCAGCAGGUCAGACCAUUAAUCUAUCCUCGGAUUACUGAUUCCGAUGUUAUCUGCAGAAAUGAUCACUGAGAAACUAUGGUGGUUCUGCAACAUGGGCAGUGAGAGCUGCUCUCUAGCCAUGGCAACACGCAGUCCCAGUGGAACCUGUGAUCGCACGGCAGAUGCACCAGUAUAUCGCCCGUCUCGAACUCCUCCAAGCACACCGCGCAAUCCGCCUGCUCCGCCGACCUCCACCCCAGCUUGCUCCAACUAAACUUCCUGCUGCUCUUCUUGGAGGAAGAGAACACCUCUCUCUGCACAGAGCCAAGGAUCCUGUGUUUGUGUCCCUGGCCACAUCCCUCGUUCUUGGUCUGCUUCACGCUCCCUAAGCUAUUAUGCCUGCAGUUAAAACAGCAGACGCAAUCACAACAAACAACUCGUGUGCUAGGCAAGAAGGAGAUGCACGCCGGAUUCCCCACACACCUCUUGAUCUGUAGUCUUGCAUCCAACCUCUCCUUGGCUUCCCUGGCGACGUGUCCGAGUGCCUCGCCAUGGAUUUCUCUGCUCAAGGUGCUUCUUUUCUGAUGAGCCACCACCACCACACCAAGUUAGCUAAAAGGAAAACGACGAACGAGGAUGAACUCAAUGUUCAAGAAGAAGAUGAAGGUGAACUGUACCGUGGAGCUACUACUCAGAUGCGCCUCAUGUCCUGUUCUGUACAAGCAAAAGGAUGACCUCCUCGAACUGGUGGACGAAUCCACCGGACCGCCGAGAUGGAAGCCCCUCCGCCGGGCGCAUUCCACGCCAGGGAGCAUCCCCGCCAUGAUCACACAGUGGUACACUCGUUGACCUCUGUACGAGUAUACAACAUGAAAAGGGAAGCUAAGCUCUCAGCUAGCCUUCGACUCUUCUUCAGAUUCCCUCGAGAACUAAUGGGGGAUGCAGAGUGAGCUAACGGGGGAUGCAGGAGGCCACAUAAAAGAAGAACAGGUAAGGUGAUGAGAGGAAGAAUGAUUCCGGAGGUCUUGGCAGACAAGGACAUGGCGCUAUCAUUGAAGCUUCCAGCCAUGAGAAGGACAUGGCGCUAUCAUUGAAGCUUCCAGCCAUAAGAGCAACAUAUACCAUCGUCUGUCCCACUCUCUUCCCCCACAUAUAAUUCAGCCUGGCUUUGGCUAAAUGCAGUCCGCAAUGACAAACCAAUGAAGUGAGUUUUCAUAUGUACAUUUUGAUAUCAGCAUUUGAUCAAAUCCAUAAACUUGCAUUGGUACAUACAUUAGUAUUUAAAACCUUCGAUCAUAUAAUGUUUUGAUUUGAGUAGCUGCAAACAUUAAUCUCAGAGAUUAAAUCACUACUAUAUCUAGGAAAAUUAAUUUCAUACAACUGCUGUAUUUGUACUCCAUACUCUACUAACACACUACUUUUGAGGUGUGGAGAGUAGCUACAAGGAACAUCUCCAGAUAUAUACUCUUACAAUCUCACAAUUUCCUCGCAUAGAAAUAUUCACUUGACAAACCACCCAUAAGAGAAUUCCCAACAGAGACUAGAGUUAUAUCAGAGUCACAUUCAAUCAAUUUUGGAUUGGUAUUCACAUAUCUCACCUUGGAGUCAUUGCUCGGUUCCUUGGUUCUUUCCAACAUUGUAACCAGUUGUCUAACUUGGUUGUUGAGGAUUUUAACUGUCAUGUCAAUCAACAAAAAUCACAAAUAAUGGCAGUGCAACAUACCAUCACUAUAUCUACUACUGUGGAUCUCAUUAGAGAGAAUCCUCAUCUCAAUCAACUCUUGUAUUCAGUCAUAUGCCAAUGUAGUAGUGCUCAUCUCCAGCCACAAAUUCUAAAAACCAUGCUAGUGAAUAAAGCAAAUGUAAGUUCUGGCAACAUUACAUUCCCUUCUUUUCUCUUUCUCUUUCUCUUUUAUCUUUCCCUGCCACUACCUUCCCCUCACCAUGACCUUUGCAGCUAUCCGCCAAAAGCUCUAAACCUGGAUGCCUUUAAUGACAUGGAGCAAUUAGAAAUGUGGAAGAAAGAGAAAACCAACCAUGUCUUCCAUGCAGACUCAGUAUUACUAGGUUGCUCUCAAAUUGAGGAACCAUCAGGAUAUUGGAGAAUCUAAUGUCAACUUUCUCCUUAAAUUCCCUCUUUUCCUCAAAUAGGUUUCUCAAAUCAACAUUCACAAUAUUCCCAUCAGUAUAACUUUUUUAUGACGAUAAGAAUGCAUUGCACUUUAAACAGGCUGCUAAUAGCACAAUAUUUCCACACACCAAAAGCACAACCAAUAAAAAAAAAACUUGCAUCCAUGGUAGCGAGUCUCGACUCAACUCAAUACUGCUUCAAUAUUUCCUUCAUGAUAUUCUUCCCCUUCAAUUCUCUUUCUAAAUUUAUAUUUGUGAUAAACUUUGUGAAGUUGUUGGGACAACUUAAACCUAUAUGACGGCAGUACAAAUCCAUAAUCAACAAGUUCAUUUUUAAUUCAAUAGAGAGAGCUCUAUCAUAACCUUACAAAUUAGACCAGAAUCAGCAAAAAUAUCCUUAUGGUAAGAUCUAUGCAGAAUGUGAACCCAAACAAGGAAUGAGUGCAACAAACAUGAGGAACCACAAGAGAACUGCAAUCAAACACGAACACUAAGCACUUCUAAUAUUUCAUUUUCGUAAUGGCAUCUUCUAAUAUGUGAUUCUCAUAAUGGCAUAAGAUGGGUGAAUGGAUCACUUGCAUUUAUCAUCGUCAGGUAAAAGCAUUAACCCAUUUCAUGUUUCUCACUACUCGCAACUUCGACUGUGACACGACGAGCACAAUGCUUAACUUCUCCAUACCACAUCACAGAAUGAUGUCACAAUGGUGAAAGCAGACAACAGAGUAACAAAUUGUGUUAAACCAUAUCCAUUACAAAUACAAAAAUAUUUUGGAGUCUUAAUAAAGACUUCACCAGAAUAAAGUGCAUAAAUGAUAAGCAGAAUAGAUAUUCAUGUGGAAUCUGAUUUAAAACGUUAAUUUCGUGUAGAAACUCAUGAAGGCUGUUGGCUUAUCAUCACUUGUUUGUUGUGCCAAGCAACAACUUCCUUGUAUGCCAUAUUUCCUCCAAAAAUAUCCAGAGCACUGCCAACUGUGACAUCAACUUGUUCCUUGCCUGCUGUUUUUAUCUUCUCUAGGUCUGCCAUUGUUGUGACCCCACCAGCAUAAGUAACUGGAAUCUAAGAAUAUAAUAAUACUUCCAAUUAGGAGCAAGAAUAUCUACAGAUUGUGAUUCUUUAUUAAGGAUGGCCAAUUGAGAACAAUCAACCAAACACCAUUGCAACCAUGCAGAAUCUCUAUCAUGCAUAUUGUUUGGGUAUCAAGAUACCAGAUUUCUAAACAAUACCAAGGAGGAAUGCCGUCAUAUGUAAUUAUAUCAUAAACAGUGCAACCGGUAACUAAUCGUAAGAAACAUAGUAUUUCCACAAUGCAGAAAUUUCAUUUCUAUAAAGGAACACCGCCACAAUAUUUUGGCUACAAAAGAACGAAAUAUUGAUAAAUCAAAAUAAAAACAUAAAUUAAGAAAAUGAGUGUUCUAUUCAAAGAAUGAUGAAAUAUCAAACAGCAAGGGAAAUUCUUGACUAAACCUAAUUGAUAAUUAGCACGUUAGGAGAAGUGUUGUCAGAAAAUGAGUAACAUACAGGUGAAUAACAACCGAGUAACAUCACAAGCUCCUCAUCAAUUCCUAGCCUGCCAUAACACAAAAGGAUAAGUCAGAUUAUACAACAAAUUAUAAAUUUCUCAACUCUUCACACCCACAAUUUACCUUAAGUUUCAAGUAGCAUCAAUACAGCAGCAAUAAGGUUACUUUUAAAAGUCAAGAAACACAAUAAACAUAAACUUAAUAACCAUGAGAAUUGGAAGGAUAAAGUCACCACUUUAUUGGAUGAUCUGCAUGCACCACAGUCGUUAUUAAACUAAUAAAUUAUCUGCAGUUAACCAAGCCCAACUAACAAUUACGAGAUCUUUUGAAUAUUGAUAGUUGCUAUUUGUUAACAAUGUAAUCAAACAGUAAAAUAGGAGAGAAGACGAAAUCAAGGAUAAGCUAUAAGUUCAUGAAGUUUCAGAACACCUAACAUCUAUAAAAGGGAAGAGUUGAGAUGAAGCAUUGUGAAAACAAUGUAAAAGUAUAACAUGAAAAUGCACCAAGCAAAAAAACAUAAUCCAUCAAGAAAAUUUGAUGGUCGUCAUAGGAAAGAGGCUCAAAUGGUAAAAUCAGAUAUGAGAGACAGCAAAAACAUAAAGGGCUUUGACAAGCAUGGCAUCAUAUUAAAGGUUAAAGACUGACAUUCAAUACAGACAGAUAAAAGCUUCAUAAAAACUUGCCAGAAAAAAAAUGGUCCAAAUGUGUUGUAGAAACAUAAUCCCCAUGCAAAAGGAGCAGUUAGUGGUUCAAGUAAGGCAUAUGUUAUCAAGUAAUUUAAAUUUUAACCCACAAUGCCAAGCCGAAUCACUACAUAAUAGGAGUAACCAGAAACCCACAGUUUAUUAAAACUAUAAAAAAUCAGACACGCAAGUAACUUCAGGUUAUCAAAAAGGAAAAUGAGAACCAGAGAGGCUACCUUUUCCCCUCAACAUCAACCCCAUGAAUCAAAAAUUCAUCUGAAUAUUUGGCAAGGAACUCCAAAGUUUCCUUGUCAAGAAUAACAUCACUGAACUUCUGCCAUCUGUCAGUAACAAUGGAAUACUUCCCAUCCUGUGGGAGAGCAAAGGUCAAGAACAAAAGAGAUGAGAAAUGAAAUAAUUCCUCCUGAAAAUAACCAAUUUAACAAGUUAACAACAAGUCAAAAUAUAACAACAAAAAUAAUGUCAUAUUAUAUAACACCAAAACAAAAAAAAUAAAUUCAACAAGCAUUGUUUUUUGACAUUGAAGGACAGGAAGGAAGUGAUCAAAUUAGUAUGUUUACUUAAGGGAAAAAAAGUGUUCAAAUUUAUAGUUACAGCAAAUGUGCCUAAGGUAGGCCGAGUUAAGAUUAGCAUGCUUGGCGUAUGUGGAACAACAUACAUGGACAUCUUAAGGCUUAGAUUAAAUUGAUGUCAUGUCCUGUUGAAGGAUAAUUAACAAUAAAACAGCAAUGAAAUUUGUGCAUAUGACAGGAACAGUUAAGACUAGCAUGCUUUCCUUCAAGGUGGAUACAGACACUUGCAAAGUAAUCCUUAGAAAAUGACAACAUCUGAUUUAAAAUUCAAGAGUUUAAAUUGAUCCAUGUCAACUACAAAGAUACAUGAAAAAGGAAAAAGAUCAAGGUAAAAAAGGAAAAUUGUAUCAACAAUAUUGUUUGCACCAGUGAUCCUACAAGAUUUGGUAAUUAUUAAUAUGAAAAACAUUAAAGCAAUAUAUGCAAUAAAAGGAAUUGCUAAAUGUCAGAAGGGCCAAAACAUAGUUCAAAUUUGACAUAAUAGAAGCAUGAUCAGAUCUAACCAGAAGGAAUGUAGGAGAAGAAAGGGAUGUGUGGACUCAAAACCAAGAAAUUUCAUCAUUUUGCAACUGAAGUAAAUGGUUCUAUAACCAAUUGUAAAACAUAAGAGAAACAUAGAACCUUAUCAGACAGCAAGUUUCACAUCCUACGAUACGGUCACAUCUCCAAAAUCAGAACUUUACUGUAGACAUCAUCAAUUGCAUACAAGUCCAUGCUACCAUUACUAGCAAAGAAAUAGUAUACCUUCUUUCUGCAGCUAAGAUCCAACACAAGUCUAUCCUUGCCAAUCAUAUUGACAAGAUGUUUAAGUCGCUCAAGAUCCAUCUUCCCAUCGCUGAAAACAUACUGUGAAAGAGUAACAAGUAUUGGUGGUUCAGUACACAAUUUUCAACAGACAAAGUGCCUGCAUAACGACAGCUGAAUUCUUAAGAUUUUGGAGGAUCAGGAAAUUGAGGUUGUCCCCCAACUUUGCCACCUAUAGUUUCAGCUCCUAAUUAUUUUUAUAUGUUUAUAAAAGUGAGAAAGUAGCUCUUGGUAUCAGAAUUCAACAUAUAUAAGCAUAUAAUAGAACUAGUAAUCAAAAUAUGAUGUAAUCAACAAAAGACAUAAAAUCAAUAAGAAAUUUCUAUUAUAUAUUUUGUAUAUAAAUAAAGCAUUAUCUAACAAUAAACAUUUCAGAUCUUUUUACUAUUUAUACUGUGUAUAUAUGUCAAGAGAAAGAAUGAAAGACAUUCUACACCAAGGAGGUGUGUCCAUGUCCAAAUGCACAAGGGGACUCUGGACAAGAGCCGUAUCCCUUCUGGUCUGUUGAAUUGAUAGCUAUAAAUAAGCCAUUGAACUAUCAAUGUGUUACGUAAAAAAGGAUGAAUCAAUAGAGUUCUCUUAAUAUUCUUUCUUUUUUCCCCUAUAAUCAUCUUUUGACCCGGGAGUUGGUUUAGGCUUGUGAGUAAGAUUGGAUUGCAAACAUUCGCACUGCAAACAUUCUACAUGCAAGUAAAUGAAUACAUACCGAGGUAACAAUCACAUGACUUGCCCCUUCUUCAAGAUAAUUCAUGGCAUUAUCUGCAUUGAUCCCACCUCCAACUUGCAUACCACCUAUAGUUACAAUUCAACAAAGCAAGAAAACAUUAAAGUAGAAACUUGAAUUCGAAAAAAAGAAGAACUACAAAGAGAAAGGAAAAGACAUGACUUCAAUGAUAAUGCGUCAAAUCUUUAUGUCGANNNNNNNNNNNNNNNNNNNNUGCGAGUAAUCAGUGGCAUCCCUUCGGGUGGAGCUGCGUUGAGGUGAUAGGAGGUGGCGGCGGACGCGGGCGGCGUAGCGGCGUAAGUGCGGGGGUUGGGGCGGCGAUACCAGCGAUACCACCGAACAAUGUGAUCAAGGG
rnacentral:lncRNA from 1 species